rnacentral:lncRNA from 1 species
GAUAUGUGUAGUUUCACAUCGGUUAUGUAUUGGAUUAAUCAGAAAUAUUUAUACUAGAUCAAAAAAUUUAAAUAAUAUAUUUCAACUAUCUUUUUUUGGAUGAAAUUUUGGAAUGUUGCAAUGUAUAUUUUUUUUAUUUAAAAAUAUUUAUAUUUUAAUAAAAAUAUAAAUAUUUGGAAGAGUAGUUGAAUACCUUAACUAAAUAAAUAGUGCAUU